ACAGUAUUGCAAUAGUAAUUCAACCUAGUACGUGAGAAACGAUUGAUUCACACAAUUGGUCAUUGCGCUUGGCCGAAAAGCCAGUGGCACAAAGCUACCGUGUGCUGGAUUAUAAAUGAACGCCUCUAAGUCAGAAUCUGGGUUAGAAGCAACACAUGUACCGUUGUCUUCUUGCCUCGCAGUAGGAGCCUUUGGACCCAAGGUCACCUGUCGUUGGCUAAGUCUUCGCGGCGGAACAGCUGCGAUGAUCACAUUGAACUACAAUUUCCAUUGAGCAGCAGGUAGAAUCUUUUGCAGACGACUUAAUACGCGACGGGGUAUUGUAAGUAGCAGAGUAACUUUGCUGCCAUGAUCCAUUAAACUUCAUCUCUUUGCAACUCCGAUUC
rnacentral:ncRNA from 1 species